rnacentral:lncRNA from 10 species
GGAAGAGGGGCGGGAGAGACGGGGAUUGAGAGAACACACACAAUUUCUUCCCCCCACGCUUUGAAGACAGGAUCCUUUUUGCAUCUGGCCACAGACACUGGAUUUCUCCUGGGAAUUAGCUGCUUGUGCCACCACAGCUGGCGCUCCACUGGGGAGAGCCAAAAAACAAAAAAACUAACCCCUCAAAGGAAGCACUUCCUUUAUAUGGACUGAAUCGUGUCCCCCUUGAAACUCACAAAAUGAAGCCCCAGCCCCAGUAUCUGAGAGUGUGACUGUAUUUGGAAACAGCAGCUUUAAAGACGUGAUUGAGGUAACAUGAGGGCAUCAGGGGCCGCAAUCUGGCCUGUGCCCUGAUGGGAAGAGGAGACUGGAACACGACACACAUACUGCAGGAGGCACAGAGCGAAGACGCCACCUGCAAGCCAGGGCCAGAAGCCUUGGAAGAAGCACCUGCACACCUGAAUCUUGGACUCCAGUUUUCAACACCGUGAGAGAGUAGAUUUCCAUUGCCAGCCAGUCUGUGGCCAUCUGCAAUGACUCUAGCACGUUAGUAUACCCCUCUAUGGGUUGCCUCCCCGAGUUUUUAUUCCCUUCCCAGUCUGUCUGCUUUUGUGGAUGUCUGGAGCUCUUGAGCAGUUGCUUUCUGAUUUUGCCCAGAGCUUUCAGUUGCAAUCAGUGAGGAAGAAGCUGCAGGAACUUGUUUCAUCUUGACCAUCCAUACAUAUUAAACUGAUGUGUUUGUUACAUUCUACCGUCUCUUGAGUGUAAUCAAAUAAAAGAGCAUCUGAUGUAAUAGGAAAAUAGAGCAGGCUUUGCUAACCAGCUCGUCCUCCCUCCGCAGACACCACACAGAACGUUGGUUCCUGGAGGCACCAAUCCAUGUUGAGGAUUGGCAUAAUGGGAACGGAAUGAUCUUGGGUCAUAGGUUUUGCUUUUUUUUUUUUUUUUUUUUGCUUCUAUUCAGAAAAAAAUUAUACUUUAGAAUUCUGAUUAAAAAUCUGAGAAAUGAAAUAAAGAGUAUGCCUUUUAAAAAAUGUUUCACAAGAACAUUGCAGUUUUAUUCUAGAAGUUGUAGCAGGGAGAUUUUGGCUUCAUGUAAUAGAAAGUCCAAUGAGAAUAAGAUUAAACACUAAGGGAAAUGGGUUUGCUGCAUGUAAGGAAAUCUACAAGUGGGCAUGGCCUGGACUGGCUAACCCAGGGGAUUAGCCAACUCUCUUACCUGGGGAAAGUUGUGGAUAUUUUCCAUGUAAAUUCUCCUGAGUCCUGCAGCCUCAGUGAGAAAGUGUGCAUGUGUGUACUCACGUGUGUGUGUGUGUGUGUGUGUGUGUAAUGUGAUGUGGGGGCUUUGGACAAUCCAUUCUCUUCUGUGCAGAGGUGAACUUUCACUUUGGAGAAACUGAACAACUGUCUGAGUGAGAGCAUGCCCUUAUCAUCCUGUGUGAUCAGUGGCACUUUGCUAAUGAUCCAAGAAGUGAGAGACAACAGGUGGAGCAGAAAUUAGAGUCCACCAGUCCAUAUUACUCCCACUGGGGAGGGCUGCACCCAGUGAUACACUGAAAAACCUGUAACACGUCACUCCCUGAAAAAGGCUGUGCUUUGUAGCAUUUGUCAAUUUCCGUGGUCUAAAUAUUGACCCACUUUUUGUUCCCAACACGAUGUCCCUAAAAAUGGCAAUGGGAAGCUUCGCACAGCGGGCUCUCAUGAGCCGGCACGAGCUGGCUCCAGCACACCACCGGUUUCCAGUUGAAAUAGUGAGAAUAUCUAGUUUUUAUUGAGAACGUGGCUGUGCACAGCCUAGGACAGGAUUUCUCAGCCUCACUUCUACAGGCCUUCUGGGCUGGCACAUCCUCUGUUAUGAGGCCUCACUGUCCAUGGUAAGAUGUUUGGCAGCAUCCUGGUCUUUACCCACCAUGGGCCAGUAGUAUUCUCCCAGUUGUGACAACUAAAAUAUCUUCAAGCUUUGUCAAAUGUCCCCUGUGGGCAAAAUUGUGCCCGUUGGAGAACCACUGGCCUAGAAGAAGGGUGAGUUGGCUCAGUAUGGAAGCUGUGUAUUUGUUUUGAGGUCCUGCUAACAUUUGAAGGCAAAGAGAAGGCCUGACCUUUGCUGUGGGCUUGGGCUUCACAAAUGCCCGUCAAAGAAUGGUCUGUGCAAAGGCAGUGAUUUCACAUACGUCUGAAUGGGGAUUUAUACUUUUUUUUCUAGUUGGUGUGUGUCAGGUGUAGAAUCCCUACAUUCUGUUUGCUCUAUAAGGUAGUAUUUUAAACAGUGAUUUAAACAUUUUAAACUAUUGAUUUUUCAUCAUAGUUUUUGCUCCAGUAGAAAUUAGGAAUUGAUCAAUUCUUCUUAACUUCAGGUGUGCAAAGCAAUUGGCUGAUUAAACCUACAAAUAUAGUAGAACCCUUAUGUUAUUUUCUGGAUGAGAACUAAAUGUUAAAAUUUGAGAAAGGGGAGGAAAAAAUUCUUUAUGGAUCUUGGUUAGGGGUUUCAAAUGUCAAUCAAGAUAUAAAUGAGAUGAAUGCCUUGUGGAAUUAAUUAUUUUUAUGACUGUGUUAUGAUAUGAAAAUGUUAUGAUAGGGAAAAAUGCAAGAAACUGUUACCCCUGUAGGAAUAUUGACUUUGUAGCCUUGGUUAGAAGACAGGCUCUGAUGGAAAAAUUUGCUAUGAUGGAUUGUGCCAUGGAGACUUGACUCUCUCUACAUUUAUGGCACUGAAGCCACCUCUGUGGUGUGCAGUGUGGACACACGCCACGUCUCUCAGACGAAGCACACCUGGCAGUGGGCAGGCCCUGGCUGUGCCCUGCUGCUGUGGCCUGCCCCUUCUUCCUCUAGUAGGGCGGGGACCCUCUAACCAGGCAGCUUUGGACUAGACCAGUGCUAUUCAAAGAAUGAUCUGGAGACAGUGACCAGGAGUCCUUUGUGGAUCUGGGGACCUAACAUUAGGAAUGAUAAGUCCAGAAACUGACCAUUUAGAAACUUGUAAAGAAAUUUGAUGUUGCCAUGUGAAGUAAAAAUGUGGUCUGUUUUAGCAAUUCAUUUAUUUUGUAGUUUUUAAUAGUGUUGGUCUACAAUAGAUUAGGAAAAACAAAACCAAACAAGAAACCAACCAACCUCCUCCAAAUCUGGUUCUUUUCCUCCAAAUACUCAGAGAAGCACAAGAAUAGACUGUUUACACCCUAGAGAGUCUUGCACGGUCUGUUUCCAGCUCAUACACCGUGAAGGCUGCUAUGAGAGUAAUAAACUGUGUUUCUUUCAAGGGAGGUGAUGAAAAUUGGAGAAGGUGGUGAGGAUGCUUGAUUGAAGUGAGUCCACAGCAGGCUUCACAGGGGCUGUGGAGGCCUCUGCCAGGUGCAUGUCCAGCCCCCUCAGCUUCUUUGUGGACAUCCUGGGCCCUUCAGGGCUCUCUCGGGGUAAGGUGUGAGACCAGAUCCUCACAUAACUUCCAAGAGAACUGAAACCAGGACAGGGAUGCAACACACUCACCUAUUCACUCUCCAGAACGAUUUUCAGCAUUUCAGGUGGAACUGAAAUCUCUCGGACUCUGAGGCCUGCUCUCUUGUAACCUCUAACUUAAGUGCUAGAAGGUAUACUAAAUGCAUUUUCAGUUUUGUUGCUAUAUUUGCCAGUGUCUGAAACUCUCCCUAUAGUUCAUAAUUGUAGAUAAAGAAGUAAAAAAAAAGAAAGCAUUUGUUCUGUUGAAGGUAAAAUAUGCCCACAUGUCAUAUGCAAAAUGACAUUGAUGUGAGACCCAUUUCCUCUCAUUUACAUAAGACAAAGUUCCUUCCAUGCGAAACUUCUCUAGAAACAAUAUCUGGAAAAGCACAGGUGAAGGAGAGGUAUGACAGAGGAAUCCCAAAUUGGAUACUGAACGCAGAACUUGUUGCCCUUGUCUAGCAAGUUCAGAUUGCCAUAAGGAAGUCACCAUGAGUGUUAGGUUAAAUGGCCAUUGCUACAUUAAACUUUCUCUUAAUAUCACUUCAAACAUUUAAAAAUAUAUAUUAGAAGAAAUGCUACCAUUUUCAAUUAAUUCUAUUUUACUGGUUUCUCUUUCUGUUAAUAUAAAUAUGCAUAGUUCUUUUCUUCAAAUACAAAGCUGAUUGGAAAUUUCCAGGAACUAAUUAUCAAGAGGAAGAAGAAUAUUAACAAUAUACCUUGAAGUUUGUAUUUCUUUUAGUCAUAGCAUUUUUAGGUAUUCAUUUAAACAUGAAAAAUAUUGGAACAAUCUUGUUUUACCAACAAAACAACAGAUUCCUAGAUAUAAUUUUUAUUUAGUCAGGCUUCUCAUUUUUUUCAGUCCUCAAUUUUUUUCUUCUAUUGUCUAAAGGAGGUCUUACCAUGCUGCAUCCCUGUUGUCUUCAGUAAGGAUGGCACCAAGUUCAAGAGACUGAAGAAGAGACCUGGAGCCAGUGAAUGAGACAGAGAGUUUACUGAGGGGACUUACAUACAGGGCAGUCCACUGGUGGGAGGCUGGACAUGGACAGCAGAACUGCUACCAUUUAUAAAAAGCAUGCAGUCUAUACAGACUAGGUGAGCCUGCAUGCUCAGGGUAUGCUUAAAUUAAGUUAUUCCUGUCAGGUGUGUCUACCGUACCCUCCUCCCCAGCAGACCCUGGAAUGCCGCUCACAUUCUCACCGUGUCAUUCCUCCACGACCUCCCUGGGCCAGGUAUGGGGAGGAACAUUGCAGCCAGAUCUCACAGCAGCAACACAAAUUACAACAAAACAGAAUAACAAAUACAAUAACAGUCAUAACGUUUUCCCAAGUGCUUGGGAGUUGACCUUACAUGCUCAGUGGCAGGCCUGCGGUGGAGAGGACAGCUCUUCGCACACCCAACAGUCUGGAUUUUUUCUGGAGAGAUGCCACCAUCUGCACCCAGUCGGCAAAGAGGUUUGCUGCACACCAUCCAACAAGAUGACACCCAGUUAUCCAAUGGGUUCUGAGAGAGUGUGUUGGAGUCUGAACUGCCAUUCUCAGCAAGUGUCUGACCCUUAACCCUGAGCCAGGCAGAGUCCGGGGACUAAGGUUCCAUGCAGGAAUGGAGUGGGGUGGCCCAUCUCAUGGAGGAGGAGAUGAGACAUAGGCAACAAGAUGUGGUUAAAGAUGGACAGGGGGUCAGAAAUCAAAGAAAAAGAGAAAAUCAAGUAUCAUCAUCUCUCAAGGGUCGGGGUACCAGAAAGAAAGCCAACUUGAAGCAAUGAGUAUUUAUUGCCAGUUAUAACUACAGAUAGCUGAGUGGGGAGAGAAGCGUUGGAAGGAAAAUAGAAGAAGAAACCCAGAAAUGUCCAGGUAUGUGAAAACAAGUGCCGGCAGUCGCAUUAAGAGGUUACUGGGGCCUUGACCGUGGUCAGGGAGAGAAAUGGCAUCAAGGCAGCUUAGAGACGCGCUGCUGGGAACUUCAUUUUGGUUUUGUGGUAAUAUAAGUACCUGGAUUUUAACGAAUACAUGUGCACUUGGCACUGGGCUGAUAUUUAUUCAAGGGCCUUAAUUGAUGCUAAGAAACAUAAUUUAAAAAACCACUGCUUUCUUUAUAUUUAAUGAUUUUAGUAGUAGUUAUGAUACCAGUAAAAUAUUAAUGUUUAUUCAGCUCUCCUUUGUGCUGGCAUAUCCAAGUUUUCAUCCACUGUGGCUGACUGAAAAGCAUGGCCAUGCUAUUUUGUAGCUUUCCUAUCAGGGCAUGAUCUAUUUCUCCACCCCUUCACUCUGGGCUGAACUUGUGAUUCGCGUUGACUAACAGAAUGCAGUGAAAGACCCCCAAGAGGUCUUGCCUCUUCUGCCUUCACUUUCCUGGGACGUCGCUGCCUUCAUGAGAGGAAGUCAAUGAUCCUCUUUGAGAUUGAAAGACGACCUGAAAAGGAGGAGCUCUUGCGGUUCAGCCAGCUGAGCUCAGGCCCAGCCAACCCUCUAGCUUAAUCCAACACAGCUGAACCCAUGCAAGAUCAGCAAAAGCACCUCUUGGCCCACCCAGAGAGCUGUGAGAAAUGUAAGUCAGUCCUAUUUGGGGUAACUUGUCUGGCAGUAUUGAAUAACUAAUGAACCUGCAAUUUUAACGAGCCUGCCCUUUGGCACACACACUCACCCGCACACUGAUUCAAACAACAAACUAUGCGAGGCCCAGGACGUGACCAGGUGGCAUGUCAGUAAAUACCUGUUUCCAGGCCCUUUACGAACUUUUCAAUACUCACUAGAGCUGCACAAAAAUUGUGCUAUUGCUGCAUAAAGAUUGGCUAUGACCGUUUUUUGUGGAGAGACAAUUUCACAUCUUGAAAAGAUAUAGUUUUUACCCAAAUCUGGGAUUCCACACCCAAGACAUGGCUGCUCAGAAACAAUUGCACUGAAGAGAUUGAUUGCCUCUUGGUUGUUAUAGGCUCAGGGGAGGAAAGAUCUGGGUUUGAAUCACUGGCCCUACGAUUGACAAGAUGUGUAACAUGGGAAAAAUGCCUGACUUUCUGAAUCUUCAUUGCACCUCUGUAAAUGGAGGCGAAUAACAUUAACCAAUCUGGGUUAUUUUGAAAUACAUAGUAAAAUCACUCAAUCUAGUGCCUACCACAUACCAAUUUUCAAAAACUGUAGUUUUCCUCCACUGGUGCAGUGCUUCUGUAAUUGUUGUACCAUUACAAUCUGCACCAAAAGCAAUUGGAGUUUGUUUAAAAUGUGGGUGUCCAGGUCCACCACAACAGUGGUCAGUUAUAUUACUUUUAUCUCUUAUAAUCCAUUUUUCUUGAUUAUAUUCUUUUAAAAUAUAUGUGACACCAACUAGAAUGGCUAAGAUGGAAAAUACAGACAGUAUUAAGUGUUGGCUAGGAUGUAGAGCAGUUGGGACUCUCCUACUCUGCUCCUGGGGGUGUGCACUGCUGUAUUUACUAAAGCUGGGCAUAACUGAACCCAAGAAUUCCAAUCCUAGGCAUAUUCCCAAUGGAAAGGUGUGCAUGUGAUCACCAAAAGAUAGAUAUUAUUAAAAUGUUUAUAGCAGCACUCUUUGCAAUAGCUCCCAACUGGAAACUACCAAGUGCCCAUCAACAGCAGAGUCGACUUUUUUUGAAGCUGGGAUACAAUGCAGCAAUGAGCAUGAACAAACGACUACACGCUACAGCACAGGUGCAUCUCACAAAUGCCAUGUUGUAGACAAGAAGCACAUACAACAGUACAUACUGUACAAUUACAUUGACUUAAGUUUAAGAACUGGUAAAACUGGCUGGGUGU